rnacentral:rRNA from 1 species
AUUGAACGCUGGCGGCAGGCCUAACACAUGCAAGUCGAACGAGUGGCGGACGGGUGAGUAAUGUCUGGGAAACUGCCCGAUGGAGGGGGAUAACUACUGGAAACGGUAGCUAAUACCGCCUACCAUCGGAUGUGCCCAGAUGGGAUUAGCUAGUAGGUGGGUUAAAGGCUCACCUAGGCGACGAUCCCUAGCAGGUCUGAGAGGAUGACAAGCCACACUGGAACUGAGACACGGUCAAGACUCCUACGGGGGGCAGCAGUGGGGAAUAUUGCACAAUGGGCGCAAGCCUGAGGCAGCCAUGCCGCGUGUAUGAAGAAGGCCUUCGGGUUGUAAAGUACUUUCAGCGAGGAGGCGUUACUCGCAGAAGAAGCACCGGCUAACUCCGUGCCAGCAGCCGCGGUAAUAC